rnacentral:rRNA from 1 species
UACGUAGGGGGCGAGCGUUGUCCGAAGUUACUGGGCGUAAAGCGCGCGUAGGCGGGAGAUUAAGUGAGAGGUGAAAGGCUGGGGCUCAACCCCAUGCAGUGCCUCUCAUACUGGUCUUCUUGAGGGCGGUAGGGAGAAGUGGAAUGGCUGGUGUAGCGGUGAAAUGCGUAGAUAUCAGUCGGAACACCGGUGGCGAAGGCGGUCUUGCUUCGGCGUCGACGCUGAGGCGCGAAAGCUGGG